UGGUGCGAAGAUUUGUUAAUUGAGCCAACAGAAACCAGUAGAAAUGCCAUGACCCAGAUAGAGUAGCAGGCAUGAACAUUAUACCUGCAUAAAAUUCUAAAUCUCCUGCUAAGGCAUGGUUCUGGGUUGUUGUCACUUGGUAUUUUUAUUACCUGUGCUCUUGUCUGUUCUUUCAAAGUGAUUUGCCAUUUUCCAGUGAGAAUUGUGAAGUCAAAUGAGCGUAGCCUGCUUUCUGGUAUAGGAUGCUAUGGAUGAGAUGAUUUGCCCCCCAAUCUUCAAAGCUACCCGAUAGUCAUGUUAUCGAAAGGGAAACGGAAUGGCAAGUCAGAUGUGAUUUAGAAUAAAGAACUAGAGCAAAUGGUCGUCUUCCAUUCGAACACCUAUUCCAGUAGGCGGUUGAAAAUCAGUUUACGAGGAUGACCUUGAGAACAAUUCUAAUCCAUGUGUAGGCGUGCUAAUAUUCAAGUUACAAUUGACUUGAAACUUUGGGUAAAUUCUUUACGUUUUCAGUUAAGAAACUAAAGUUGGCCAUGUGUGAUUGUGAAUUAGUUUAUUUAAUCCAUGUAGUCUUUUCUCA